UGACUCUUCGUNUGGGGGAAUUUGGGAGGGAUCAUU
rnacentral:rRNA from 1 species